rnacentral:rRNA from 1 species
GACGAACGCUGGCGGCGUGCCUAAUACAUGCAAGUAGAACGCUGAAGGAGGAGCUUGCUUCUCUGGAUGAGUUGCGAACGGGUGAGUAACGCGUAGGUAACCUGCCUGGUAGCGGGGGAUAACUAUUGGAAACGAUAGCUAAUACCGCAUAAGAGUAGAUGUUGCAUGACAUUUGCUUAAAAGUUGCAAUUGCAUCACUACCAGAUGGACCUGCGUUGUAUUAGCUAGUUGGUGGGGUAACGGCUCACCAAGGCGACGAUACAUAGCCGACCUGAGAGGGUGAUCGGCCACACUGGGACUGAGACACGGCCCAGACUCCUACGGGAGGCAGCAGUAGGGAAUCUUCGGCAAUGGACGGAAGUCUGACCGAGCAACGCCGCGUGAGUGAAGAAGGUUUUCGGAUCGUAAAGCUCUGUUGUAAGAGAAGAACGAGUGUGAGAGUGGAAAGUUCACACUGUGACGGUAUCUUACCAGAAAGGGACGGCUAACUACGUG